rnacentral:ncRNA from 1 species
CAACCUCUGACGAGACUCGUGAAUGUUG